AAUGAACGUUGGCGACGUGGAUUAGGCAUGCAAGUCGUGCGCGAAUCGUAGCAAUACGAGGAGAGCGGCGAAAGGGAGAGGAUAGCAUAGAUACCUACCCUCGGACCUGGGAUAGCUAUGGGAAACUAUAGGUAAUACCAGAUAACGUCUCCGGACCAAAGGUGUGAUUCCGUCCGGGGAGGGGUCUAUGUCCUAUUAGCUUGUUGGUGAGGUAACGGCUCACCAAGGCAAAGAUGGGUACGAGGCGUGAGAGCGUGUCCUCGCUCACUGGGACUGAGACACUGCCCAGACACCUACGGGUGGCUGCAGCCGAGAAUCUUCGGCAAUGGGCGCAAGCCUGACCGAGCGACGCCGCGUGUGGGAUGAAGGCCUUCGGGUUGUAAACCACUGUCAGUGCGGAGGAAAUAUAGGGGGGUACUCCCCUCUAUUUGACCUAUGCGCAGAGGAAGGACGGGCUAAGUUCGUGCCAGCAGCCGCCGUAA
rnacentral:rRNA from 1 species